rnacentral:rRNA from 1 species
GACGAACGCUGGCGGCGUGCUUAACACAUGCAAGUCGAACGGAAAGGCCUGCUUUCCCUUGUGGUUUGCGGGUACUCGAGUGGCGAACGGGUGAGUAACACGUGAGUGAUCUGCCCCCAACUUGGGUAUAAGCCUGGGAAACUGGGUCUAAUUCCCGAUAGGACUGCAGGGUGGUGCCUGUGGUGGAAAACGAUUUUCUAGUGGUUGGGGAUGAGCUCGCGGCCUAUCAGCUUGUUGGUGGGGUAAUGGCCUACCAAGGCGGCGACGGGUAGCCGGCCUGAGAGGGUGGACGGCCACAUUGGGACUGGGAUACGGCCCAGACGCCUACGGGAGGCAGCAGUGGGGAAUAAUGCACAAUGGGCGGAAGCCUGAUGCAGCGACGCCGCGUGGGGGAUGACGGCCUUCGGGUUGUAAACUCCUUUCGACCGCGAGGAAGCCACCUGGUUGGAAGGGUGGUGACGGUAGUGGUAGAAGAAGCACCGGCUAACUACGUG